CCCUCUUCCAGCUGAAGUCGCCGCCGCCCUCUGCUUCUCUCUCUCUCUCCCACCCGCCUCCUCUCUCCUCCCCCUCGCUCCUCUCUCCGAUGCGCAGCCGAGCAGACCGUGCCGACCGCGCGACCCCGCGGCCGCGACACCGACGCGCCAGCGCCCUGCCAUGUGCGCCUGCAGCCACCCGGAGACCGACCGAGCUCCCUGCGCCCAUCGAGCCGCCCGCGCGCCACUUCCUCCAUGGCCACUUCCUCUCUGUCACUUCCUCCAUGGUCGAAGUCUGGGAGCGGCAAGGUAUUGGCCCCCUACCCUUACAACUCCUAGAGCUCUACCCUCACGCUUACCUUAGGGAGACGGGAUGCUUUGCUCGCCUACUGGAGGACAUGCUCUGAUGGUGUUUCCUCUGCUACCAUUUUUAGUUCUUGCUUGUUUCAAUUAGGCAUAUUAGGUUUUGUACUAAUCUGCUAGGGAAUCUGUGGAUGUAGUUAAAUAUUCUGUGGAUGUAGUUAAAUAUUCUGCAAUGAUAACAAGCCAAAUAUACUUUCCACAUUAUGCAAAGGGGCUCACGGCAAGUGGCAAUAACUUUCUGCAAUUGUUCCUUCUUUCUGUCAAGUUAUUUCAAUUGUCUUAUGCAAUGAUUCUGCAAUUAUUCUGCAAUUGUUUCUGCAAGUGGCAUAUAUGUGGAUGUAGUUAAAUAUUCUGCAAUGAUAACAAGCCAAAUAUAACUUUCUGCAAAGGGGCUCAUGAGCAAUUGUCUUAACUUUCUGUCAAGUUCAAUUCACCUAUUCCUCAUCAAUUUCACCAUAUAUGUCAAUCAUUGUCAUAACUUACACCUCUUUAAGCUUAAUGCCAAGCAGUUCAGCCUCGGUUAAACCAAUUGUAUUUUUUAUUUUAGAGCUUAGUUCACUGAUAAUUGUUUUGUUUUUUCUCUGAAAAAUUAGAGAAAUUAAUAACUUAUUUUCCUGUUCCUACAACUUAAUAAAGUCUCAUUACAAGUCAUGUUUUUAAGCAGGCUAUGCGUUCUUUCUCCGAGAAAGGUAAUCCUUCUUUUAUCAAUUUGAAGAAAACCAUUUGUAUUAUGAUUUUUCUAUCCUAAUUCCUGGAAACUGAAUUCUGAAUUUUCUAUUUCUUGUAAUGUUCAUUUCAGAUAUUCUUUCUCUAAUUGCUAAACUUGUACUAAGGGGUGUUGAACAAAAAGAUUUUUGUCGGAGGCGUUGCUUGGGAGACAACUGAAGGUAAAAUUUAUGUGUUAUUUACUAGACUGCUUGCGCCUGGAGUUUGAUUUUUCUAUUUCGGUUCUUUAGAUGUUUUGAAUGCUAAAAUAAAGGAGCUCCUGGAGUUUUCUUUGCCUAGAACUAGAUGGGUUCUCUAGAUGUUUUGAAUGCUGAAAUAAAAAUGUGGAAACAUCAAACAUGAACUAUCGGCGAGCAGGUUGUCAUAUAGGGUUGAUAUGGCGUCUGUUAUUGUGGAAAGUAGUGUUUCUGUUAGCAUGCUUCCAUUAAGUGUCCGACAUGCCAUUUUCCUUGUUUGUCUCUGUUCUUUUGCUACAUUGGCUUAGUGUUAUUCGUGUGUUUUCUUCCAUAUUUUGUUGCCUGUGGCAUUAUUCGUUAUUUGGUUGGUUGAAGAUAUAGAGCAUGCACUCAUCAUAUCUAAGUGAUCGGAGUGAUAUUUAUUGGCUUAUUAGAUGGAUAUUGGCCCAGUUUAUCUUUCAUUUUUUCUAUAGCUGUUAGAAAUUUACUUUGCUCAUAGUUCAUACUAUAAUUAAUAUGAGACUCUUGUUUUGUGGUCCAAGUGUUCAGGGCUCAGGGUGCCUUGGAAGUACGCUAGCUUGUUGUCAUGAAGAAGUCAUUCAAGUUCCUUCCAGGGAGCUAUUAGUUCAUAUGUAUAUUUCUGUUUAUAUCUUAUCUUGUUUAUGUUUAGAUUUAUAUGAGCCAACAACUUAAUGAUUGCACCAGCUGAAGUUGGUGCAUAAGGCUGCAACACCAUCUAGUGGAGGGUGUUCUGGACAAAGAAAGCUUGUACCUUAAAACAGGAGGAUACAAGAAGCUGGAGUGGUUGUCUGAAGGCUUUUGAACUGCUUGAAGCAUUAGUGUAGCUUUGGUGCUUUUGUGACUGAUCAGCUCUGGAGCAGCUAGAGUGAUAUAGUUGUGGGCUUUUGAACAAUAGUUGGACUGAUAUGAAACAUUAGUGAUCUAGUUGUGAAUGAUAUUAUAAUUGUGAUGCUUUUGUGAAUAUAUAAUUGUGGUGCUUUUGUGUUUA